GCAGCAUGGAAUAUUAUUACUGUUCACCAGAUAUUUGAAUAAUUUUCAAUUCUUAAAAAUUAUUUAAGAAAAUGUGUAAAAUAAAAUGUUUUUCUUUUUUUCUGGAAGGGAAAGAGAAGCCAAAGAAUGAUGCCCCAGGUCCAAAGAUUUUGGGUACGCCGCUGCAUCCACAAAUAUAUAGUAAGUAUAUUGGCAAUGGCCGUACCUUUAUCAUUGGUGCUAGUGAAGCAGACUUUACUCAGCUGCCGCCAUCUUACUAGUCUACAACAUAGAACAGACGUGGAAGUAGCGAGGUGCUUUUUUUUGUUUGAAUAUUUACUGUAUUGCCGUUAAUUGAGAGAGAUAGAAUUAAAUAAGAAACAAUGGUGAAUACGUGUGUGGUAUUUGGCC
rnacentral:lncRNA from 1 species